GCCCCUGUCGUCCAAUGGCUAGGACAUCACCACCUCAAACAAACAAAUCUCGGUGAAGAUCGGCGUUCAAAUCGUCGUAGGGGCG